rnacentral:rRNA from 1 species
CCCUUAGAUGUUCUGGGCCGCACGCGCGCUACACUGAUGCAUUCAACGAGCCUAUCCUUGACCGACAGGUCCGGGUAAUCUUUGAAUCUGCAUCGUGACGGGGAUAGAUUAUUGCAAUUAUUAAUCUUCAACGAGGAAUGCCUAGUAGGCGCAAGUCAUCAGCUUGCGUCGAUUACGUCCCUACCCUUUGUACACACCGCCCGUCGCUCCUACCGAUUGGGUGUGCUGGUGAAAUGUUCGGAUCGGCCGUUUGUCGCGGUUUCCGCGUCAUGUGGCUGGGAAGUUCAUUAAACCCUCCCACCUAGAGGAAGGAGAAGUCGUAACA